GUAAGAAGAAAAUGAUUACUGUCACCUUCGUGGCUGUCAUUACCGAUCUUGGCCUCCUGAGCCCUGUCUCUCUGUCGAGCUGGUUGGCCCCGCCCCACCAGGCAAGACGCAGAAGGCGGCAGCCCCGACGUCUGGCAGUUUGCUUUCUGGGGUUUAUUACAAAACUUUGGGCCAGAAAUUCCUCCCUUCAUGGAUCAAGCAACGGAGCUCGUCCUACUGAAGCUGGGGCUUUGGAAUCAUAGGACUUCGGUUUGAAUCCCAGAUCACCCAGUUUUUAGCUGAGGGGUUUGAGACAGUGUCUUUACAGUUGGAGACUCAUUCCCUCAUCCGUAAAAUGGAGACCAAAAUACUACCUUCCUCCUAAAGCUUGUGAGGAUUAAAUGAGAUCACCCGUGUGAAGAGCUUAGCAUGGAACCUGGUUCAUAAGGAGUUGUUACUACUAUCAAUAUUACUAUUAUCAUUAUUAGUUCCUGGCAGAACCAGACCUAGAAUCCAGGCCCUCUUACUCUAGGGAGGCUGAGUCACUUGGGCAAUGACUCAGCCACACCCACCAUGAACUCUCAAUGACUCGAGGAGAAGAAUGGCAUGGAUAAUCUAGAAAAAAUGGACAGUGGGAAAGAACUCCAGUGCUCUCAUGGAGUGCACGGAUCAUGAUUUGCUGCACUGGGGGAGCCGCUGGAUGGAUUCAUUCAUUAUAGUCUCGUCUCUGGCUGAUACUAAAUCUACUUGUUCCUGAGAGCACCUGCGGCCAUCAUGACAGGCUCAGUAUCACAGGGCCUAGUGAAAGAAACUCCCUCUGGCCAAGGACAACAGAAUAAAAACGUAACUGAGUCCCAGAUAUGCUAGUGUUUUCCACCAUUGCAUCUCUAAGAUAUCAACAGGACCUGGAAAGAUGAGAGUGAGUUCACUGUCCCCCCAUGGGCUGAGGUUGCUGGAAUGCUGGAACAGAGAGAAACUGGGAGGUUUUAGAAUGCUCUGGCUUCAGAAUGAAGGGAGCAGAGUGACGAGUGCUGCAAGCUGCAUGGAGCGGCCAAUUGAAAAAGCUAUCGAAGUCAGAACAGCACUGGAAGCGUUGACCCUGAAGAUGCAUGCCUGGAGAGAGGAUUUUUUUCUCUUUUUUUGCACUUUUUAUUGCAGUAAUGCAGGGACAUUCUAUGCAGUCCUGGAGGCAGAGGCGCAGGCGACUCGAGGUCAAACCACUUCUGCUGCUAACUUGGGCAAAUCACACCACCUCUCUGCACCUGUCGGUGAGAGGCUUGGCCUAAAUGGUAUGUCAGCCUCUCCUAGUCUCAGUUGUCUCCCAUUUGUGGAUGCCAUUUCAGGGAUAGAGAAAUCGGAGACUAUUGAUAAAGACUGCAAAAGUGCAGAUUUGCUCAUAACAUGGAAACUCUCAGAGAGCUAGUCCCUACCAGGGAAGGAUGGAGUGGUCUGCCCUGGGCGCUAGGAAUAAGGAAGAGCAUUGUUGAUGGAGAAUUUUAAAACAAUAAUGAAACCAAGGAAAAGUCAGUCUGCUUUUUAGGAUCACCACGCAUGGACAAUUCUAAGCAAUGUCAGGAAUAAAAUACUCCUCCUCACCUGGGUGGACCACUCCCACCAUCCCCCUCCUUGGUUUGCCACUGUUUACCUGAACAAUUCUCUUUUUAUUCAGUGCUCUUUCAAUUCCUCUGACUACAAAGGGGGAGAAAUUCGCUAUGGUGUUAACUCUUUCAUUACCACCCCUUAGUGUUGAUUUGUCUCCAGUAAAGAAGAGUGAUGAGUUACUUUGAGACACAGCAGUGGACCGGAGUGCAACCAAGGAAGCAGGAACAAUAAAAAUGGAGAGAAAAGAAGAUGGAGUGAGGUGUGGAAUGUGUUGAGUAGUGGCUUAGAAAGUGAAGCCCUGAACACAUGGUCUAUGGCCAGGAUGGGGACAGCUCCCCGAAGGCCCAGGUCAGGCUGGACAUGUGGUGCCUAAGAACAGACUGCAGCUGCAUCUCCCUUCUGCUUUCUCAGAUCCCUGGCACUCUGGAGCUUUCCUUUGCGGCACUGUAGAUGCAUUUCUUAGAAGUGAUCUGCUCUGCACUCCUCAUGUCACACCACCCACCAUCCUCCUUUGGGUUGGAUUUCCUUCUCACUGUGUCCCAGUGUCUAGAAUAUGAAGGGACUUUGCCACCCCUCUGGGGACUUGCAUAUCCUGCAUUGAUGCCUCUCUUCUGUAGGCUUGGUCCCCUUGGUGCCCAACCUCCUGCUUGAUGGUGUUGCUUUGGGGUGUGUUCACAUUCUCCAAGGAGCCCUUCCCGAAAGCAGUAAAAAUAACCUGUGUGCGUUCUACAGGGGCUGAGUGGGCUGCUCUGGAGAGGACCAUGGGGUCUGUUGGAAAAACAUGAGUGUGGUGCGGGGAGGAGGCUGGGGAAGGAAUGCAGAAUCUAAAGAUGGAGAUCCUUGCCAAAUUAAAUAAAAAGGGUUUUUGUUUUUCCAAGCGAGAGCCCAGUUAGAAGCAAUUAAAUUGACAAUCAACUCAACCCAACCCAAACCAUGAGGACCGAGUUCUAGUUUCUUACAGAUUUAUAAUUUGCUAAAUUUUGUCUUUUAAACACCCACCAGACACAUAUUCCCUCUUGCACAUUUAGUUCCUAAUUGUUAUCCUAAGAUGAUUUAUUUGUUCUGGCAGGAAGAUAAAAGGAAGAGAUAGCUCCAGUGGAGUUUAUU
rnacentral:lncRNA from 1 species